CUCGCCUGUUCUAUCCACAGGACAAUCAACUCCCCAAAGACGAAAUAUCUGCCGUAUUCAUGAAUCAGAAAAAGGGAGACAGAAGUCCUGAGGGUGCCGAGUCUCAAGCCUUCACAGGACAGACUUGGAGACUCAAAGGCUCACAAAGCCUCCGCCCCCACCAAGGAAAGAAGGAUGGUGAAAACAGGAGGAGGUGACAGCUUGGAAGGUGGCUUUGGCUAGCUCCAGGUCCCCUCCCACACCGAAUAGGCCUGGCCUGUGUCAUGUGAUACUGUGGAUACGAUGGCGUAGGACUUCUAAGGAUGGGACAUAACAGACAUUGUGGCUUCCAUCUUACUCUCUCUUGGAUCACUUACUUUGGGAGAAGCCAGCUGCCAUGUCUUGAGCAGCAGCCCCAUGGAGAGCUCCAGGAGGUGAGGCCUCCUGCCAACAGCCAUGUGAGUGAGCCGGCUGGUAAGUGGAUUCUCCAGUCUUAGUCAAGCCUUCAGAUGACUGUAAUCCCAGCUGACAUCUUGACUGCAACCUUACGAGAGAUCUUAAGCCAGAACCACCCAGCUAAGCAGUUCCAGAAUUCCUGAGCCGUCAAGUGUGAGAUAAACGUUUGCUGUGCAAAGCUGCUAAAUUUGGGGUUAUAAUGCAGCAAUAGAUAACUAAUACAAAUACCAAGCUCAAGUAAAUGAUACUCUGCGAGGGUUUUGUAGCUUUUCUCCGCUGCUGAGGUUGAACUAAUCACCCUGUGCUGCUCUGAGCCUUAGAUCUCCCCUAUUAUAGCACUCGUGACACAGGGCCUAACUGCUGACUUGACGUUCUUACCCUCUAGAUUCAGUCCCAUGAGGACACAGACAACCAUGUACAGCCGUGUAAGUGAUUGUAGCGUGAAUGAACACAUGUGAGAAAGGCUAUCUGAGUUGAUUCUCAUAGACCUUUCAGCCAUGCUUCUUCCCCACACAAAAAAUCCAAGGUAUGACUUCUGGAAAUCAUGGAU